UACAGAGGGUGCAAGCGUUGUUCGGAAUCAUUGGGCGUAAAGAGCGUGUAGGCGGCCAGACAGGUCCGUUGUGAAAACUCGAGGCUCAACCUCGAGAUGUCGAUGGAAACCGUCUGGCUAGAGUCCGGAAGAGGAGUGUGGAAUUCCUGGUGUAGCGGUGAAAUGCGCAGAUAUCAGGAAGAACACCUAUGGCGAAGGCAGCACUCUGGGACGGUACUGACGCUGAGACGCGAAAGCGUGGGGAGCGAACAGG
rnacentral:rRNA from 1 species